rnacentral:rRNA from 1 species
AGUGAACGCUGGCGGUAGGCCUAACACAUGCAAGUCGAACGGCAGCACAGUAAGAGCUUGCUCUUACGGGUGGCGAGUGGCGGACGGGUGAGGAAUACAUCGGAAUCUACUUUUUCGUGGGGGAUAACGUAGGGAAACUUACGCUAAUACCGCAUACGACCUACGGGUGAAAGCAUGGGAUCUUCGGACCUUGCGCGAUUGAAUGAGCCGAUGUCGGAUUAGCUCGUUGGCGGGGUAAAGGCCCACCAAGGCGACGAUCCGUAGCUGGUCGGAGAGGAUGAUCAGCGACACUGGAACUGAGACACGGUCCAGACUCCUACGGGAGGCAGCAGUGGGGAAUAUUAGAGAAUAGGCGCAAGCCUGAUCCAGCCAUACCGCGUGGGUGAAGAAGGCCUUCGGGUUGUAAAGCCCUUUUGUUGGGAAAGAAAAGCAGCAGGUUAAUACCCCGCUGUUCUGACGGUACCCAAAGAAUAAGCACCGGCUAACUUCGUG